GAUGAACGCUGGCGGCGUGCUUAACACAUGCAAGUCGAACGGAAAGGCCCUGCUUUUGUUGGGUGCUCGAGUGGCGAACGCGUGAGUAACACGUGAGGAACCUGCCCUUGACUUUCGGAUAACCUCAGGAAACUGGGGCUCAGACCGGCUAGGAUCUCCGGCGGCAUGGUGGGGGUUGGAAGGUCUCGGCGGCUGGGGAUGGACUCGCGGCUUAUCAGCUUGUUGGUGGGGUAGUGGCUUACCAAGGCUUUGACGGGUAGCCGGCCUGAGAGGGUGACCGGCCACAUUGGGACUGAGAUACGGCCCAGUCUCCUACGGGAGGCAGCAGUGGGGAAUAUUGCACAGUGGGCGGAAGCCUGAUGCCGCAACGCCGCGUGCGGGAUGACGGCCUCCGGGUUGUAAACCGCUUUCGCCUGUGACGAAGCGUGAGUGACGGUAAUGGGUAAAGAAGCACAGGCUAACUACGUU
rnacentral:rRNA from 1 species